rnacentral:ncRNA from 2 species
AAUAAAGAGUUGGGGUGCCACGAGCUGAGAUUAAACCCAUUGAACCUGAUGUAGUCCGUACUACCGCAGGGAACUUCCUUAAUUUAGAA